UGCUCCCCGGGGCACGGAAGAGGAAGAGGGGUCCCCGCGGGAACCCGGCGCAAGAGGGCGCCUUGCCGGGCUCAGGGUCCCGGAUGCAGACGAGAACCUGCCCGGCAGGGGGCCCCCGCACUGCGCAUGCGCGCUCUCAGGCUCUGCAGAACCUGCCUGAGCUCCCAGCUCUGGGGGUCAGUGGCCCGCGCAUUGUGUUCUCGGGGUUCCCUUUGUGCUGAGGAUCACUUUGGCCCUGAGGUAGAUGAACAGACUGUGAAUUGUAUAGGAACAGAAAGUUUUGUUUCUUUUUUUGGAGCAGCCACUGAACCCAGGGCCUCGCGCGCCAGCCAGGCGCUGUGCCGCUGAUCUCUGUGCCUGGCCCAGGAGCAGGAAUUCUAUGGCCACCGGAAACCAGAACAGAAAAUUCUUCCCGAACGUUUAGCAACUGGAUCCCGUGAAUUAAAAUGAUGAAUCACAGUGACUGGGAGACAGUGUGUAAGACAGGAACUGCCCCGUCGUCUUUACACAUAUGAAGACUUCAGAGUCAAAGCACAAGGCAAUCGCCCGAUUUUGGGAGUCACACCGUUCUUCAUAAUAGGGGGAGAAAUUGUAGAGAAAUGUUAGACAUAAAGACCAUGUUCUAACCCACACAAGAUACAGAUUUGUGGCCUGUAUACCAUUUUUAAAAAUGAUGAUGUUUGUGGAGACAUAAUCAGACAUCAAAAAGGGGGUUCGGGGUUCUAGAGACAGAGGUAGAAACGGGUGUAGUGGCAAACACGUCAUCCUAGCACUUGGGAGGCUGAGACAGGAGGAUCACCAUGAGUUUGAGGCCAUCCACCUGGGUUGCAUAGUGAGUUCAAGGCUAUCAUGAGCUAUAAAGUGAAAUUCUGCCUCAAGAAAAGAAAAAAAGAGAACAGAAAAGAGGUACAUAAACAAGCAGAUUGGGUACCAUUGGGGGUUUGCCUAAUUUCAACUCUGGUGCUUGUGUGUGUGUGUGUGUGUGUGUGUGUGUGUGUGUGUGUGUGACUAUACAAUUCACCCUGGUCUUGAACUCACUUUGUAGCCCAGGCUGGCCUGGAACUCACAGCAAUCCUCCUGCCUCAGCCUCCCGUGUGUGCUGGGAUUACAGGCUGUGCUGCCAUGCCAGACAACAUUGACUUUUUGUGACUGGGUAAAGCUCAGCUUCAGUGAUUUGUUACAAAAAUGUAUUCCUAAAGUAAGCUGUAUACUAUGUUAGUUUUCAAUUUAUGCAAGGGCUGUUAUGCCAAGAUUCAUUGUAUAAGUCUUUGUCCCAUUUGGGCCAAAUUUACUUUGACUUGACAAGUGUGUGUUUCUCUUCAAAAGCAAAUUAUGAACUAUUAAAGCAAAUUACAUUAAGUGAAUAUAA